AGAGUUUGAUCCUGGCUCAGGACGAACGCUGGCGGCGUGCUUAACACAUGCAAGUCGAACGGAGUUAAAGAAGGAGCUUGCUUCUUCAUUAACUUAGUGGCGGACGGGUGAGUAACGCGUGGGCAAUCUGCCCAAGAGACUGGGAUAACAGCUGGAAACGGUUGCUAAUACCGGAUAAGCUCAAAGCUUGGCAUCAAGCAAUGAGAAAAGGAGGCCUCUGACAUAAGCUUCCACUCUUGGAUGAGCCCGCGUCUGAUUAGCUAGUUGGUGAGGUAACGGCCCACCAAGGCAACGAUCAGUAGCCGGCCUGAGAGGGUGAACGGCCACACUGGGACUGAGACACGGCCCAGACUCCUACGGGAGGCAGCAGUGGGGAAUAUUGCGCAAUGGGGGAAACCCUGACGCAGCAACGCCGCGUGAGUGAAGAAGGCCUUCGGGUUGUAAAGCUCUGUCAAGAGGGACGAAAAGCAUAAGGCUAAUAACCAUAUGUGUGACGGUACCUUUGAAGGAAGCCCCGGCUAACUACGUGCCAGCAGCCGCGGUAAUAUGUAGGGGGCAAGCGUUGUCCGGAAUUAUUGGGCGUAAAGGGCGUGUAGGCGGUCUAAUAAGUCAGAUGUGAAAUAUCAGGGCUCAACCCUGAGACUGCACCUGAAACUGUAAGACUUGAGGAUGGGAGAGGAAAGUGGAAUUCCUAGUGUAGCGGUGAAAUGCUCAGAAAUUAAGAGGAACACCAGUGGCGAAAGGCGACUUUCUGGGACAUUUUUGAUUUUUUA
rnacentral:rRNA from 1 species